rnacentral:lncRNA from 10 species
GGGCUAGACUUGACUUGAAGAAGGGCCAGCUCAUCCUGGAAAAAGAAAGGAAAGUUUUAUCAUUUGACACCCCCUCCAAAUUAUAAAAAGCACUCUCCUGGUUUGUAUAUGUUAGCAGCUAUUCCACACAACAUAAAAGCUUAAAGCAUGCCUUUGGACUGCCAGUCUGGUGUUGAUGAUGAUGAUACAGCUUCCUUUAUGGACCAUAAUAAAUAGCUGGGCUGGGCAUGGUUUAUGAGGCUAUAGGAGUAUCAGACAGGGCCUCCUGGAGGAGGGGACAUAUUAGCCGAGGCCUACAGGAGGCGUAGGAAGGAGUGUUUGCCAGCUAAAAGGGAGUGGAGGCAAGGAAAGAGAGGUCCCAGAAGAAUGAGUUUGGCAGGGGCUUUGGCAACACUGCCAGGAGAGCUUCUUGCAGGGGAAGGGUGUCAGCAAUAUCUGGAGGUCUCAUCCAGUUCCUUUCUUGAGUCCCCGCCUUUACUCCCCAGGUGGGCUGGCCUCCAGAGGAAGGGCAGUUCGUGGCAGUGGGUGGCGGAGGCUCCAAUUUAGCUCUCAGGGAUGAAGGGGCGAGGCUGGCUGUGGACUUUAAGGGAAAUCCAAAGAUAGCUCAACAGAAAAGGAUGACUCGCAGCCUGAUCUUCCCCUCAAGAGGAGGGAAGCAAGAAUGAAUCAGCCUCUCAAGCUGGAAUGAAGUUGCGGCGGGAAGUCAGUCCUCGGUUUGUGGCCCAAGGCCACUCUGCCUCUGACUCACCUUGCAGUGGGGCGGGAUGGGUGUGAAUCUGGGCUCUCCAGCCCGUAUUCCUAGCUUCCGGCUGGGGGCCUGAGGGGAGGCCUGGCUCCUCUUGAAACCUCGGUUUCUACAUCUGUGCAGUGGGGUAACGAGGGUCAGGAGAGUGGUUAUGGUGACUUAUAAACAGAGCUGGGCACACAGUAGGGCCUCUGGAAG